rnacentral:tRNA from 1 species
GCUUUCGUGGUGUAAUAGUUAGCCCACUCGGCUCGUAUUCGAGAGGUCCAGGUUCGAGUCCCGGCGAGGGCA